CCCCUUAUUCAUAUGACCCUAAUGGAAGUGAUUUACCAAGAGACUGCAGAGUCCUCCAGUAUUACUUCAAUUUGGGCGUCCAGUGGUACCAUCAGAGCUGCUGGCAGCAACAGCAGCAGGUGUAUCCCGCCUCCUCACCUGAGACUGCCUACCCCUACCAGCCCUACACGCCCUACCUGGGCCAG